AUAACCGCCGUUGCUUCACCUGCUGCUGCUGGUCCAGACCGUCACUCAGUUCACCGUCGCUUCGUCGCCUACAACCUACUCUCACAGAGACACAGACUUCACUCGCCGCUCGUUGUUCGUCCUCAGCCACCACCCCAGUGUCGCCAGCCACCAGUCCACCAGACCACCACCAGGUUUCAGGCUGUCGUUGUUCGUCCUCAGCCACCAGUCCACCACCCAGUACCGUCCGUCGCCACUCGCCAGCCACCAGUCCACCACCAGGUAAGGGUUAUGUGACUUCUGUCUUCUGUACUUUGUUUUCUGAAAUUCAAUUGCUGAAUGCUGAUGUUAAUUGUGAGGUGGAGCCGUGGAGGCAGUAUCACUGUAAUUCGCAAUUGUUAAUUGUUAAAUGUGAUGUUAAUUGUUAAUUGUGAUGUUAAUUGUGAGAUGGGUUCAGCUGUCAAA